rnacentral:rRNA from 1 species
UACGUAGGGGCGAGCGUUGUCCGAAGUUACUGGGCGUAAAGCGCGCGUAGGCGGUCAUUUAAGUCUGAGGUGAAAGGUUCAGCGCUCAACGUGAACAGUGCCUUGGAUACUGGGUGACUUGAGUUCGGGAGGGGGCAGUGGAAUUCCAGGUGUAGCGGUGAAAUGCGUAGAUAUCUGGAGGAACACCGAUGGCGAAGGCAGCUGCCUGGCCCAGAACUGACGCUGAGGUGCGAAAGCGUGGGGAGCGAACGGG